UACGAGGGGAGCAAGCGUUGUUCGGAUUCAUUGGGCGUAAAGGGUGCGUAGGCGGCGCGGUAAGUCGGAUGUGAAAUCUCGGAGCUUAACUCCGAAACUGCAUUCGAUACUGCCGUGCUUGAGGACUAGAGAGGAGACUGGAAUUUACGGUGUAGCGGUGAAAUGCGUAGAUAUCGUAAGGAAGACCAGUGGCGAAGGCGGGUCUCUGGACAGUUCCUGACGCUGAGGCACGAAGGCCAGGGGAGCAAACGGG
rnacentral:rRNA from 1 species